AAUAGGGGUAAAUAGGGGAUCAAUCUGAACUUCACACAGCAUCCAAGCUUCUUUCUCAACACGCAUUGCUUUCCCUUCUUAAUCCAACUAUUACUGUGCAGUUAUUUGUAAGGACAUUAAUUGGUAUCUCUUAAGGGCAAAUAGAACAAUUCCUGGUUCAGAUCCUGGGGAUUGAAAACAUUCAGUAGAGUCCCUAAAUAAUCCAGUGAUGUAAUGUAUGAAUCUUCUACAGAAAUAUUCGCUUUGCUGGAACCGCU